GGUUAAGCGACUAAGCGUACACGGUGGAUGCCCUGGCAGUCAGAGGCGAUGAAGGACGUGCUAAUCUGCGAUAAGCGUCGGUAAGGUGAUAUGAACCGUUAUAACCGGCGAUUUCCGAAUGGGGAAACCCAGUGUGUUUCGACACACUAUCAUUAACUGAAUCCAUAGGUUAAUGAGGCGAACCGGGGGAACUGAAACAUCUAAGUACCCCGAGGAAAAGAAAUCAACCGAGAUUCCCCCAGUAGCGGCGAGCGAACGGGGAGCAGCCCAGAGCCUGAAUCAGUGUGUGUGUUAGUGGAAGCGUCUGGAAAGGCGCGCGAUACAGGGUGACAGCCCCGUACACAAAAAUGCACAUGCUGUGAGCUCGAUGAGUAGGGCGGGACACGUGGUAUCCUGUCUGAAUAUGGGGGGACCAUCCUCCAAGGCUAAAUACUCCUGACUGACCGAUAGUGAACCAGUACCGUGAGGGAAAGGCGAAAAGAACCCCGGCGAGGGGAGUGAAAAAGAACCUGAAACCGUGUACGUACAAGCAGUGGGAGCACGCUUAGGCGUGUGAC
rnacentral:rRNA from 1 species